AUUGAACGCUGGCGGCAGGCCUAACACAUGCAAGUCGAACGAGUGGCGGACGGGUGAGUAAUGUCUGGGAAACUGCCUGAUGGAGGGGGAUAACUACUGGAAACGGUAGCUAAUACCGCAUACACUCGGAUGUGCCCAGAUGGGAUUAGCUAGUUGGUGGGGUAAAGGCUCACCUGGGCGACGAUCCCUAGCUGGUCUGAGAGGAUGAACAGCCACACUGGCACUGAGACACGGUCCAGACUCCUACGGGAGGCAGCAGUGGGGAAUAUUGCACAAUGGGCGCAAGCCUGAUGCAGCCAUGCCGCGGGUAUGAAGAAGGCCUUCGGUUUGUAAAGGACUUUCAGCGGGGAGGCGUUACCCGCAGAGGAAGCACCGGCUAACUCCGUGCCAGCAGCCGCGGUAAUUC
rnacentral:rRNA from 1 species